rnacentral:rRNA from 1 species
AUGGCAAUGGAAGUGAGUGACUUACUACUUCCAGGUGGGCGGGAGCUUCUUGGUGCGCUUGUAGUAGCGAGCGAGGCGGUGGAUCCUGCUCUCCACAAGGAUGAGCCUGAACUUAGAGUCCUUGUCCUUCCUGUUCCUCUCCAGGUGCUUCCUUAUCGCCACCGCCUUCUUGAUCAGAAAGUAGAGGUCCUCCGGGAUCUCUGGUGCCAGCCCUGCGCACCAACACUCACACAAUCAAUCCACUCAUCAAGCAAAGAGCAAUCUGAGAAAGACGAGGUGGGAUCUAAUCUACUUCUCACCAUGGGCCUUGAGGAUGCGGAGGAUCUUGCUCCCGGUGACGCUCUUGACGAGGGGGAUGCCGUGCUGGUCACGGAGUAG